GAAUCCAGUUAGAAUCAUGACUCUUCUGGCAAAUUACCUGAAAACAGGUUGCUGGCAAGUGUGGUGUGUGCUCCGGCCGUCAAGCAUACGGGACUGCUUUUGGUGAAAAAACUGGCUCUGCGGAUUGCGCUAGCGAAGCGUCGUGUAC
rnacentral:ribozyme from 1 species